AGGAACUUAGGAUAACUAGACCAGCAGCCUUCAAAGCUGCCAGUGGGGGUUAAAAAUCCUCCAGUUCCUG
rnacentral:tRNA from 1 species